rnacentral:rRNA from 1 species
UACGUAGGGGGCAAGCGUUGUCCGGAUUCAUUGGGCGUAAAGAGCUCGUAGGCGGUUCGGCAAGUCGGGUGUGAAAACUCCAGGCUCAACCUGGAGACGCCACCCGAUACUGCUGUGACUUGAGUCCGGUAGGGGACCACGGAAUUCCUGGUGUAGCGGUGAAAUGCGCAGAUAUCAGGAGGAACACCAAUGGCGAAGGCAGCUCGCUGGGACGGUACUGACGCUGAGGCGCGAAAGCGUGGGGAGCAAACAGG